CUGUGAGUUAAGCAUUGCCGCAUUUUGUAGCAGGGAAAACCAUAGGGAAAGUAAAGGAGCUUGCUGCAAAUCACACCUUCAGUAGUCAAUGGCGAUGAAACUUGAGGACCUGAUUCAAUUCGCCAAACGAUCUCCAUUCACUGAAGGAGCAAACGGAAGCAAAGAGAGCCAAACGCCCAAAUGAGGUUUCCCAAACUGAUAACAUUAAAGAAACGGUGUCCUACUGAUACUUGGUCUAUAGUUAGGAAGCUUCCCCAAAGUCCUAAGGCACACUUUGGAAUAUUAACCCCUGUUGAUGUAAAGUACCAGGAUCUUGAGUUCACAAGAACUUUAGGAAGCUCUCCUUCACCCCCGGGAGUCAUUGCGAGACCAGAAGGGUCAAGCAACACCAAAUAGCAACAGCCAAGCCUCCGCAAUUUUAAAGAAAGAAAAAAAAAUGUGAACAGGAGCAAUGCGUGAAGAAAAUGACCCACCCUGUCCAGGAUUCUAGGCAAAAAAAUAAAUGAAAGAUGGUACUAAGUAGUUGCUGCGGAAUCCUUUCCCCAC
rnacentral:lncRNA from 1 species